rnacentral:rRNA from 1 species
UACGUAGGCAGCGAGCGUUGUUCGGAGUUACUGGGCGUAAAGGGUGUGUAGGCGGUUGUUUAAGUUUGGUGUGAAAUCUCCCGGCUCAACUGGGAGGGUGCGCCGAAUACUGAAUGACUUGGAGUGCGGGAGAGGUGAGUGGAAUUCCUGGUGUAGCGGUGAAAUGCGUAGAUAUCAGGAGGAACACCGGUGGUGUAGACGGCUCACUGGACCGUAACUGGCGCUGAGGAGCGAAAGCGUGGGGAGCGAACAGG